GACGGAGGGUCCUAGCGUUGUUCGGAAUUACUGGGCGUAAAGGGUGCGUAGGCGGCCAUUUAAGUCGGGUGUGAAAGCCCGGGGCUCAACCCCGGAACGGCAUCCGAGACUGGGUGGCUUGAGACCGGGAGAGGAGGGUGGAAUACCCAGUGUAGAGGUGAAAUUCGUAGAUAUUGGGUGGAACACCGGUGGCGAAAGCGGCUCUCUGGCCCGGUUCUGACGCUGAGGCACGAAAGCGUGGGGAGCAAACAGG
rnacentral:ncRNA from 2 species